rnacentral:rRNA from 1 species
GUAGGUGGCAAGCGUUGUCCGGAAUUAUUGGGCGUAAAGCGCGCGCAGGCGGUUCUUUAAGUCUGAUGUGAAAGCCCGACGGCUCAACCGUGGAGGGUCAUUGGAAACUGGAGAACUUGAGUACAGAAGAGGAAAGCGGAAUUCCACGUGUAGCGGUGAAAUGCGUAGAGAUGUGGAGGAACACCAGUGGCGAAGGCGGCUUUCUGGUCUGUAACUGACGCUGAGGCGCGAAAGCGUGGGGAGCAAACAGGGAUUAGAUACCCGUGGUAGUCCACGCCGUAAACCGAUGAGUGCUAAGUGUUAGGGGGGUUUACCGCCCCCGUUAGUGCUGCAGCUAACGCAUUAAGCACUCCGCCUGGGGAGUACGGCCGCAAGGCUG